rnacentral:misc_RNA from 1 species
AUUCCAGCCACUCAGAGUGCUUCUGUGAGGACGAGACUGACCAAAAGCUCUGUACUGGAGUGGGUGGACUGUCACGACCCCAGCACCAGGCUCCAGGGGAGAGUCCUCAGGGUCUUCUGUUUUAACACCAAAGGCUCACCCUCAGAGAAACGGUACUCCAUACUUAUAGAGGACAGCCAUGGUACCAUGUGUCAGAUAUUUUGUCCUGAGGAUGCAGAGAUGCGCUUUCCCUCAGUGUUACAGAGAGGGGAGGGGCUGAUUCAUGUGUUUGGGGGAAUCACUGUCCAGUGUAGGGCUACACGAGACAGGGAGCCCGCCCUUUUUUCUGUGAUUGACAGACUUUGGAGUGAUAAAUGUGUGUCAAACACAGGCUCCUCAACUCCCAGCCUGGAAGAGAGUACAGCAGGUUCUGAGGAGUCCAAUAGUAUUUCACAGUUCCAUAGAACAUCAGCUCCAGCUUUUUGCUAUGUAAUGAAGGAAGCAGCCAGUGAAGGAGGAAUGGUAAUCAGACCCAUAGAGAGUGAUAGUUCAGUGGUAAAAGAGAGGAUAACCAGGCUAGCACAUCUUGGUCGAGAGGACCAAGAGCGAGUUUCUGUUUGUUGUACAGUGAUCCUCAGUCUUAAUAUGUCUGAGGUCAAGGACAGUCUCCCAAGGUCAGAUGUCAGGAGAUCCCACAGGUCUAUUCUGUAUGUAAGAGAUUCCUCUGAUCCCAAAUAUGUUACUAUGACAACGAUAGAGGGCUUCUGUCUACCAGAACUGAAUGAAAUGAGAAACAAAACAUGGAUGUUCCGAGAUGUUACUUACCAUUUAGGUAAGAUGGCCUGUGACAAGUACAGCUGUGUAAUCCUUCAAAACACCGAAUCCGUCACAUCAUGUGACCUUGACCUUUUACCUAUAAAUGCUGAGUCAUCUGUUUUGGAUCUAUACAGUGUAUCUGGUACUGUUUGUGGUGUGGAUGAGAACUCAGCCUACAGCUGGGAGGUCUGUGACCGGUGCCAGCAAGAAAACCUGGCCCAGGACACCUCAAGCCAACAACUUGUAUGUCUGAGUUGUAAGGAGGUCGUGAGGAAGCCACAGACCCGAAUGAAGUUGGUGGUGUUCCUGUCCGGAACUUCAAAAUGUGACUCAACACCAGUAGGUCAUGUGACCCAACCAUUACCACCAGAAUCAAAGGUGUCUGUUGAGCUUCUCCAGUCUAGUAUAGAAGAACUUCUGCCUGAUGCCUCUCAGACUCAAGAAGGGUAUGACAUGGCCUGUGUUUUGGGACAAAAAAUGGGACCUUUGACUUGUGUGGUGCUCAAGUGCAAGCCAAGUGAGGUGGUGCUAAAAGAAGUCAGUGUGGAUCCACAGAAAUAGUUGGCCUUUGGAAUGAGAGAACUGUGAAUACCAGUAUGCUGCAUGGGCCGUUCAUAACCCCUGUUGAAUUGUUCUGUUUUGUACAUGUUGCAGAAGUUAUAAAUGGUAGAAUAUUUUGUGCUCAAUUAACAACUAUUUACAUCUAUUCAUAGCAGUUUUAAAGGUACUAAUAAUUGAAAUAGAAAAUAUUUGAAGUUUGAAUUCUAGCAAUACAUUUUCUUGAAACACAUGUUUUUAUUCCGUCAAUAUUUAUACUCUGUUGUAAAUUUUGCUUUAUUUUUUUUCUCUAUAGAUCUGCUAUCAAUUUCAUAUAAUUCAAAAUAAAUUUUUUGAAUAAUAAAAAUAAUGGGACAUUUCACAUUGCAAGCACAUUUCCUUUCAUAAUGGAUUUUUUAUGAUAAAUUAUGGUAAUUUUUCAUGCAUUUCCUCCUUACAAUAUUGUUUCACAGUCAAACUAAUCAAAUCUAAUGAUCUAUUUACCGGGGGUUCCCCCAAGACCUAGUGAAGGCUAACCCCGGAGUCUUCUUAUCUAACAGAGCACCAAAACAGGCCAACUUUCAAUUCAAAAAUAUACAGACAGAAUUAAAAGAUUUAAAAUUGAGGUCAUGGUCAGAAUGCCACUCUUUGCCAUUGUAAUAUGCAGAAUGUUGUUGGUCGAUAAGAGGUCUGAACUUUGUAGGAACUGUAAAGUCUGGGAACCUUCAUGACCUUACAGUCGCAGUGAUAAGCUUUUGAGAGUGUUUCCAUUUUGUCGGUGGUAACCUUGCAGUUCUAAUCUCCACCUUGUGAAAAACAGUUCACAUGUACCCAAAUGUGCCUUAAUUUGUACUCAAAUUUUUCCUUAAAAUGGCAUAUUGUAAAGAAGAAUUUACAUAUGCCAUAAUUGGCUAAAAACUGGGAGGGGCUUGUUUAAAGCAGUCUGCAAGGGACCUAUUUCUUGGACAAUAUUUUAGUAAGGAUGAACAGGUGCCACUGGGAGUCUCAACAGUUGCACAAAACAUGAGGGGUCAUGGUCACAAGGAGAGGCUCUGUUUUGCUGAUUUUUUCUAUUGCAAAUAUCAACAAUUGACUUACUUAACUUCACCGGUAUGAAUUGAAAAAGAAAGAAUCUUAAAGGUUGGAAAUGUUAUUUUGCAAAAGAUUGGGUGACUCAUGGUUCUUUUGAAAAUAGGGAAAUAUGAGGGAAAAAAGUACAUAAAAAAUCUGAUUUAUUAGAUUGCAUUCUGACUUCGAUAAUAAAGUGCUAGGUUUUAAGUAUGUUUUAUUUCUAUAAAAACUGAAAUAAAAUUUUCCUGGAAAGCCAAAAGAUGGAAGUUGGUUGAACGUAUAAUUCCAUUCUAUUCUUGUAUGUAUUUUUGCACAAUAAGAAAUGAUUAUUUUACCAAUAAAAUACCCCGGUACAUGUAUUAU